AAGACAAGAGACAGUCAACCAGCCAGAGAUACCUGCCUACCAAUAAACCAAACAAGAGACUUCACUUAAUUCAUCAGAAUUUAUACAAAUGAAGUCCCAAGUAAUAGGUUUUAGCUAGGCAAGUCAUCCUUGGCUAUCAAACAUGACUCUUCAUCU
rfam:Medicago truncatula strain A17 chromosome 3, whole genome shotgun sequence.